rnacentral:sRNA from 2 species
UCUAAAAAUAAAAAGUAACUUUUGAUUAUCCUUUGCGCGGCGUUAGACCGCGCUUUUUUUUAU